rnacentral:rRNA from 1 species
UUAGCUAGUAGGUGAGGUAAAUGGCUCACCUUAGGCGACGAUACAUAGCCGAACCUCGAGAGGGUGAUCGGCCACACUGGGACUGAGACACGGCCCAGACUCCUACGGGAGGCAGCAGUAGGGAAUCUUCCGCAAUGGACGAAAGUCUGACGGAGCAACGCCGCGUGAGUGAUGAAGGGUUUCGGCUCGUAAAACUCUGUUGUUAAGGAAGAAUACUUGAGGUAGUAACUGGCCUUGAGAUGACGGUACUUAACCAGAAAGCCACGGCUAACUACGUGCCAGCAGCCGCGGUAAUACGUAGGUGGCAAGCGUUAUCCGGAAUUAUUGGGCGUAAAGCGCGCGUAGGCGGUAAAAUAAGUCUGAUGUGAAAGCCCCCGGCUCAACCGGGGAGGGUCAUUGGAAACUGUUUUACUUGAGUACAGAAGAGGAGAGUGGAAUUCCAUGUGUAGCGGUGAAAUGCGCAGAGAUAUCGGAGGAACCACCAGUGGCGUAAGGC